rnacentral:rRNA from 1 species
AUUGAACGCUGGCGGCAUGCCUUACACAUGCAAGUCGAACGGUAACAGGUCUUCGGAUGCUGACGAGUGGCGAACGGGUGAGUAAUACAUCGGAACGUGCCUAGUAGUGGGGGAUAACUACUCGAAAGAGUGGCUAAUACCGCAUGAGAUCUACGGAUGAAAGCAGGGGAUCGCAAGACCUUGUGCUACUAGAGCGGCCGAUGGCAGAUUAGGGAGUUGGUGGGAUAAAAGCUUACCAAGCCGACGAUCUGUAGCUGGUCUGAGAGGACGAUCAGCCACACUAGGACUGAGACACGGCCCAGACUCCUACGGGAGGCAGCAGUGGGGAAUUUUGGACAAUGGGCGCAAGCCUGAUCCAGCAAUGCCGCGUGCAGGAUGAAGGCCUUCGGGUUGUAAACUGCUUUUGUACGGAACGAAAAGCCCUGGGUUAGUACCCUGGGGUCAUGACGGUACCGUAAGAAUAAGCACCGGCUAACUACGUGCCAGCCGCCGCAGUAACAC